AACGAACGCUGGCGGCAGGCUUAACACAUGCAAGUCGAGCGCCCCGCAAGGGGAGCGGCAGACGGGUGAGUAACGCGUGGGAAUCUACCCAUCUCUACGGAAUAACGCAUGGAAACGUGUGCUAAUACCGUAUACGUCCUUCGGGAGAAAGAUUUAUCGGAGAUGGAUGAGCCCGCGUUGGAUUAGCUAGUUGGUGGGGUAAAGGCCUACGAAGGCGACGAUCCAUAGCUGGUCUGAGAGGAUGAUCAGCCACACUGGGACUGAGACACGGCCCAGACUCCUACGGGAGGGAGGAGUGGGGAAUAUUGGACAGUGGGCGGAAGCCUGAUCCGGCCAUGCCGCGUGAGGGAUGAAGGGCCUAGGGUUGUAAAGCUCUAUCACCGGUGAAGAUAAUGACUGUAACCGGAGAAGAAGCCCCGGCUAACUUCGUGCCAGCAGCCGCCGCCGUAA
rnacentral:rRNA from 1 species